rnacentral:tRNA from 1 species
GGAAAUGUGACUCAGUGGUACAGUGCUUGCCUUGCAUGCAUGAGGCCCUGGGUUCGAUUCCUCAGCACCA